rnacentral:rRNA from 1 species
CAGCAGCCACGGUAAUACGAAGGGUGCAAGCGUUAAUCGGAAUUACUGGGCGUAAAGCGCACGUAGGCGGCUUGGUAAGUUAGAGGUGAAAGCCUGGAGCUCAACUCCAGAAUUGCCUUUAAGACUGCCGAGCUAGCAGGUGAGAGAGGUAAGUGGAAUUCCGAGUGUAGAGGUGAAAUUCGUAGAUAUUCGGAAGAACACCAGUGGCGAAGGCGGCUUACUGGCUCAUACUGGACGCUGAGAUGCGAAAGCGUGGGGAGCAAACAGGAUUAGAUACCCGUGUAGUCCCUGUCUCUUAUAC